UAAAAGUUCAUUUGGGUUUUU
rnacentral:miRNA from 8 species